rnacentral:lncRNA from 1 species
AACACUGGAAGGAACUCCAUUGCAGCUUGUGUAGAUUAUGCUAAUGACUUACACAAAAGGAAGUAAAAUCUUAGUCUUUGUCAAGGUAGACUGCUCUGUGCCAUCUAGCUCUCCCACUGGUAAGUGUCUCAAGCCAUAUUUAAUUUGAAAUAUCUGUGAUGCAACAUCUCUAGCUGUUUGCUUUCCCCUUGUCCCCAAAUGAGGAUGUUUGUCAGGUAAAGAGAUGUCAAAAGAGCUCAGCAAGUGGAGGAUCUCAAUCUGCCCUUCAGCUGACAAAAGCUGGUAUGGCCUUGCAAGAGGUUUACAACAAUUGAUGCUGUUGACUUUUCUCCCCUCUCUCUGCAGACAGACAGCUACCACCCGGCGUGCCUUAGGGAAACAAUCCAACAAACUCAACCCCUUGAGGACAGUGUGCUGAGGCUCCAGCUCUGUGCGCACGUGGCUCUUUCACUGUCCCCUGACGUGGCUGCUGCAGUGCUGUGUCUGCAGACAAGCACCAGCUCCAAGGGCAGGGGAGAGCUGCUCUGCAUUCCCACUUGACCUGUGGCUCUCUGGGAGCCUGGCAAAGCAGCAGGAGAAGUCUCGUGGCUUGUGCUGAAUGUAUUUCAUUGCUGCAAAUCUGUUCCUUUCCUUAAGCAGACCUGCAGCUUCAUUUUUCUCUCUUCCACCAUGUCUGCAGGAAAACAUGCUCCCCCUGAGGCACAAACACCAAGCAAGCCAUGAGAGGUGGUAUUUUCUCCUGGUGCAAUUAUGGCUAAAAAGCUCCAUGCAGCUUUUCCAGGGGUGAGAAUUGUUAGUGCUUUCUUUAAAGCUACUAUUUUUCAGUCUUGAUUAUAUUCUUUUUCUAUUAUGUCACACUGUUAGAAAUUGCAGAUAAAACUUGUCAUUUUGUGAAGUGGCAGGUAAACUAUUACCUACUGAAGUGCCUGUGAAGUGAGGGAAAUAGUCUCAGGAGCAUCAUUUGAUCAGGUCUGACUCUUACUCAAAGGGCCAGUAAUGGUCUCGUGGCUUUCUACCUUCAGGCUGAUGUGUGUGCCCUGCCUGAGAGGUCAUCAUUCACCAAAUGGGAGGAGCUGGGUGGGUUGUGCAGCUAAAAAUAUUUGGCAGCAAAGAGUCUGUGCAGCUGAAGGAUUCUGCUGUGUCCCUGGUAGGAGAAUUGGGGCAAGAAGACAGCCUGGAGGACCCUUGGAAUGACUACCUCUCCCUCCUAGAAAAAUGGUGGAACUGGUAACCCAGAGCUUGCUUGGGAUGUGGAUAUCUGUUAAAGGCCUUCCUUUAAAUCAGGUAUGUAAAAUGAUUUCUCACAGCCCUGGGUAAUGCUUUAUCAUGGGGACUUUCUCAGGAUCUUGUUC